ensembl:lncRNA
ACAGCCUUGAUCAGUUAUUUAUUAUUCUGAUUAAUGUUUGCUACAGCAAUAGUGCUACGUGACAACAGCUGAGAUUCAGGUCCUGUUGUAUACAAGGACUGAUAUAAAUGAACAAUAAGAAACAGACUUUGCACUAAAUGAAUUAUGAAUUGAGUAGAGAACACAGGUGAAAAAGUAUAGAGACUUCCAAAGCUGGCAAUAUAAUCUUUAUGGGUCGUGGACUUGUUUAACUCCCUGUGUAUAGAAACAUCAGAACAUUUACCUGUUUUUCCAAUGGAAAUGAUCAUUCACCCAUCUCUAUUUUUUUUUUCAUUGUAAAAAAGAAGUCCCAAAAGAAAAUGCAGUAGUUGGAAAACUGAUGCCAAUAAAAAUUCCAUGUUCAUUUCAAGCACAUUUAUACUACUACCAUGUUGACGUCAGCUAAGAAGCUUGUUUUUGGCUCUGUCAUAGAGAGUGGAAAAUAUGCUUAUGCACAGCAGUGUGAUUAGGGAACAUCAGCUGGCUCGUUUAGUUUUCUGCAUUUGAAUGGGUUGAAUUACGCCCACUACACUACUGAUACUUUGGACUAGAACCUGGCUCAUUACAAAAGGAGCCCAGGAUGGCUAGCUUCAAUGGAGAUGUCCAAAUUGAAUGUCAACCCCACGUGAUGAACCCCAUUCUCCUCUCCUUAACACCUGUCAUGUGGUGGCUUCCCACCAGAAAUCCAAUCACCUACCAACAGAAGCACUGACAGCAUGGAUGUCUCAGGGAAGAGGCUUUGCUCCGUAGAUGACAUUUUCUCCCUGUUGACUAUUUGCAAACAAACUUUCUCGCAGAGAGUCGGGGCACAGAGGACAAAAAGCGUUUUGAGCAGCUGAGUGGCGGCAGAAGUGCAGUAGAGGGAGGAAGGAAUGGGAAAGCACUGGAACAGUUGGCCUUGAUUCCGUCACUAUCCAGCAAUUGGAGCCAUGCACUAAGAAGGAACAGAACAUCAUCACAUGUAGCCAGCUGGGUGCUGUCUCAGAAAGUCAAUCUGCAGAGGAAUAACUGGAGCCCUAUCCCAGGUCAUGACAAAAACCUACUUUCUGAAUGCAUAUCUUCUGCUGACAUUAUUAAUCAGACUGGCAUCAGGCGGUACAUAUGAAGAGAAUACAGUAAUCAAACUGCUUUUAGCUGAGUUUACAUUUUAUGUACAGGUCACGAACAGAAGGGUUUGAGAAAAUCAUGCAGGUGUAGCUGCAAAAAGCAAGCCUGUGUGGUGGUUGCUGGCUGUUAUUCUUGGGGAGGUUUGUGUAAAAGGACUCCUAGGGUUCAAUCCUAGGUUCUCAGCAGGGAUUCCGGUUUCAUAUUAAGGCAGAGAAAUGUGGAUGUCUAGAAACAAGCACAAAAUUUAGAGAAUUCUUCAGUUCAAUUUGUAUGAGGUUUAUUCAUAUGCCCAUGUAGGGUUAUCUUCUGUCCUUUCAGUUGGCAUGCAGCUUCUAGAAAGAAGUCCAGCCAUUACUUUUAAAAGCACGGGUUUCAUACAGGUCAUGGGAUGCAUCUAAUAACUUGAUUCAGACAUCCCAGCUACCCAAAGCAUCUGAAAUAGUCGUAGAUGUUUCCACCACAGGAAAAUGAAUUAAGCCAAUUUACUUGGCCAGGUAAACAUCUCCCUAGACUCUGCUGGUUAUAUCUCAAUUGGCUGCAAUGAGAAUUUAGAAACCUUAAGAUUUGUGUAAACAAAGGCAUCUCCUUUUCUUUCAUGUGACAAAUGCAAUUAUAGUAAUGGCACAGGACUUGUACUGUCCUUGUGCUCUUGUGUGCUGAAGUAUUAAGCAAAUCUCCAGACACUUUUGACAGUAUAGGCUAGCUCAAGAAUGGUUAUGACAGACAUUUUAACAGCUGCUUUGUGCAGUAUGAAAACUUUAAAAGCCAUAUAAAAAAGCAAACAAACACCCUAAGCAUUCUUCUUAUAAACAAUAUAGAAAGAGAAUGAUUCUAGAGGGUAGUCCAUCUCACAAAGGCCUGGUUGUACAGAAAUUACAGAGAGCUUGAGAUCUCAUUCCAUAUUUUCCAAUGAAAUGUUAAAGGUAGGGGGAAUUAACAGAGACCUUGAACUCUCAGAGCCCUCUGACUAAAAAAAUGAGAAUAGAUUUUAUCGUGAU